rnacentral:rRNA from 1 species
UACGUAGGGUGCAAGCGUUAUCCGGAAUUAUUGGGCGUAAGAGCUCGUAGGCGGUCUGUUGCGUCUGCUGUGAAAACCCGGGGCUUAACCCCUGGCUUGCAGUGGAUACGGACAGACUAGAGGUAGGUAGGGGAGAAUGGAAUUCCCGGUGUAGCGGUGAAAUGCGCAGAUAUCAGGAGGAACACCGGUGGCGAAGGCGGCUUCCUGGACCGACACUGACGCUGAGGCGCGAAAGCUAGGGGAGCAAACGGG